GCCCCCGUCGUCUAGUGGCCAGGAUAUCGCCCUUUCAAGGCGAAGACAGGGGUUCGAUUCCCCUCGGGGGCA
rnacentral:tRNA from 1 species